rnacentral:rRNA from 1 species
AUGCAAGUCGACGCGAAAGCCCCUUCGGGGGUAAGUAGAGUGGCGGACGGGUGAGUAACGCGUAGGAAUCUGCCCAUUAGUGGGGGACAACUCGAGGAAACUCGAGCUAAUACCGCAUACGCCCUACGGGGGAAAGUGGGGGACCUUUCGGGGCCUCACGCUAUUGGAUGAGCCUGCGUCGGAUUAGCUAGUUGGUGGGGUAAUGGCCCACCAAGGCGACGAUCCGUAGCUGGUCUGAGAGGACGAUCAGCCACACUGGGACUGAGACACGGCCCAGACUCCUACGGGAGGCAGCAGUGGGGAAUAUUGGACAAUGGGCGCAAGCCUGAUCCAGCAAUGCCGCGUGUGUGAAGAAGGCCUGCGGGUUGUAAAGCACUUUCAGGAGGGAAGAAAAGCCUGGGGUUAAUACCUUCGGGUCUUGACGUUACCUCCAGAAGAAGCACCGGCUAACUCCGUGCCAGCAGCCGCGGUAAUACG